GAGAUUUCAAAAUGCUUUAACAAGAACUAGUGACUUCAUUAAGGUUAUUCAAAUUCAAUAGGGAAUUAGCAAAUUUGAACUCCCAUCAACUAUCAGGGAUUGCCAGCAAUAUCUUUGAAGACUUAAAUCUGACUUUAUUACUGAAAGAAGAUUUAUGUGUAUGCAAUUGGAAGAAUGAAAAGUGAACUACCAAAUUCAUGAAUAAUGCAUUAUAGAGGUGGUUAUGGAGGGUGAUGGCGGAAUUGGUAUUUAUUGAAAAGGAAAAACCAUUUCAGACAAAAGCUUGCACAAAUCAAAUCCAAUUUUGCAUAACUUCUACACAUCCCUCGUCACUCAUUAGUCUCGUCAUUCUUAAUUUCGCAACUGUAAGUCCAGGCAUUAAGUGUCCACACAAGACAAAUUGAUAAAUAUAAAUUCACACAAAGUGCAAGAGACAACAAAACCAUUGUUCUCUCCACUUUUUUUUCCAGCAAGCAGAAAUCCAAGCUUAUCAUAUGUCCCAACUGUUAGAUAUAUGCCCUAAAGGAAUUGAUUAAUUAAUUAUUUGUUCAUUUAAUUAAUUAAUUAAUACUUUUUAAUAACCAACAUAAAUUAUAUAUAUAUAAAGCUUCAUGCAUGUGCACGAAGCACAUGCAUGAAACUUGGAUGGUCAGCAACCGCUGACCAUCAUCCACGAAUUCGUGCAUGAACGGUCAGCAGUUGCUGACCAUCAUGCACGAAGUCGUGCAUGAGCAACCGCUCAUGCACGAACAAUCGUGCAUGAGUGGGGACGAUCAGCAACGGUUGCUGAUCGUCCAUCGAUCAGCAACUGUUGCUGAUCGGUUUAUAAUUUUUAGUUUAAAUAGAGUUGUUUUUGCAACACUUAAAAGGGUUGAAAAAAUAGAGAGAAAAGGUGGGUGUGCAUGUGUGUUCCAGAGAGAAAAUGCUUUGCUGAAAACAGAGAGAAAAUUGUGUGCGUGUUCUUGUGUUUUUGAGACGCAAGAAAGAAGAACAUUAUCUCGUUCGGGCCGUGACUAUUAUACAUCAAGGAUACGACGUUUUCUUUCCACGUGAUUGCUAGCACGAUCGAAGUUGUGGAUAUCCGAAAGUUCUCUCUUCCGUUCGACAUUCGUUGUUGGUGUGUCUGAUCUAGAGGUCCGACGCUUGUGGGACUCGUACUGUAGAACAUCCGAACCGACUUGUUUCAAAGCGCGCUUCGAAAGGUAUUUAGUUUAACUCCCUUUUGAUAUUUAGGUUUUUGAUUGAAACGCACGAACAACGCCUAAGGAAAAUCAUGUGUAAAAUAUAUAUUUGUUUCCGCUGCGUUUAUUUUGUUGAUUUUUCUUAUACAUGAUUCAUGAAACCCCAACAGUGGUAUCAGAGCCAACCUUAGGCGUUUCGUGCGUUUAAUUGAUUUAUAGUUCAAAUAUGUUUUUGCGUUCUAAUGGCCAAUUUAUUUUUGUUAAGAGAAUUGGUUCUCUUACUCUUAUGUGGCCUAUAGAAGUUGAUUAAUUUAUGUGAUAAAUUUAAUCAACUAAGCAAAAAUUAGAACUAAAUCAAUUUUGAAUCAAAAAUCUAUAACUUGUUAUACUUGAUGUUUAUAUUUUGCAAAUGAUAUGCAGAAUUUUAUGCAUGUCUUCCAGAGCUUUAAAUUUUGAAUUUAUGGCUCGUAAGGAAGGGUGGUGAUCAUGGAAAAAUCCCUAAUUGUUGUGAUUGUUGUAUGGAUGAAUGUAUGAUGAUUACAGGUAUUCUUUUUGGGGAUGUAAUUAUUAAAUGGAGGCUGCGUCCUUCUUUUAUAUUUAUUUUUACGAAAUGUAAUUUAAGUAUAGUGUAGUAUUUCAAUUAUUGAUGUAAAUACUACAAGAUUGGAGGAGCCAUUGGAGGAGCCAUUAAACCGGUGAGCUCUCUGGGCCCGGUCUUUGAAGAGUUCAAAGAUUGAAGAAAAAGUGAAGAGCAGGUCCAUAUAAUUAAAACAUUAAAAUGGCUAAAUGGGUCUUUUUGGCUCGAGACCCAUUGAACCAUAAUUCCAUGAUCACCACAUAGGAUAGAUAUUAUGUGAUAUCUAUUUAUUUAUUGUGUUUAUGGUAUCGUGCAUGUUAAACCAGUUAAUGUGCAAAGUGAGACCGUUAAUAACGACCCAAAUCUCCUUACAAAGAAUAUUAAGUCGAAACGGGUUUCGGACUCGUGGCCUUCCAUCGUUGUGGUUUGAUCCAAUAUUAUAGUGGUUAACUAACCGGUUAUGGAUACAUAGGGGUUAAUUACCAUUUAUAAUAUUGGACCACUCCAUUAUGCAUAUGAUGCUGUGGGGUUGGAGCCAAAUGAUUUCUAAUAACUGUUAGGUGAGGGAAUUAUUUGUGUUUUCAAUACUUGCAUGAGACGAUGGGCUAGACUUAACUAUGAUCAUGAUGCCAAUAACUGUUAGGUGAGGCUUUCAUGGUCUAGAGGCCGAAGUUAUGAUUGGGACUCGCAUAUGAUGCGUUGAACAAGCUGGUUCACUCACUAAGUUCAUAGGACACCAAUAACUGUUAGGUGAGGUGGACUUUGGGCUAGUGGGACUCCAAUCCCCACUAGUAAUCUUUACCCAACGAAGAUUACCGCUUCCCAUCUUAAGGAGUAUGGGAUUCGAAUAUAAAUUUAGUGGGAGGAUCUAUUUCAUUUAAAGGCCAAAAUGAAAUAGUUACUUUGAAAGAUACAACGGCUAACAAUUUAUUUUCUGCAACAGAUAUAUUAUUACUCUGAAAAUGGUGACCACAAACCCACUCGCUUCUAUACUUGACAAGAAUUGUUUGACUGGACCCAAUUUCACUGACUGGGUGAGGAAUUUGAGAAUUGUUCUCAAUUCAGAAAAAAUUGGGUAUGUGCUUGAUGAAAAGAUGCCAACCUCCUUUCCUGAGGGUGGGACCCAAGAGGAGCGUGUCACUUAUGAUAAGUGGCGUGAUGAUGACUUAAAAGUUAGGUCAUAUAUGCUUGCUUCUAUGAAUAAUGAAUUACAAAAGAAGUAUGAAUCUAUGGAAGAUGCUGGGUCGAUCAUUUUGCACUUAAAGGAAUACUUUGAUGAGAAUGGUCGAACCUCUAGAUAUGAGAUAUCUAAGGCAUUAUACCGUAUGAGGAUGGCUGAAGGAUCAUCUGUUAAUGAUCAUGCUUUGAAAAUGAUCUGGCACAUUGAAGAAUUGGCUAGGCUGAAUCUCGUUAUGGACAAUGAGUUAGCUGUGGAUUUGAUCCUCCAAUCUUUACCCGAUUCCUUCUCUGGUUUUGUCCAAAACUUCCACAUGCAUAAGAUGGAGAAAACUCUUGCUGAGUUACAUAGCAUGUUGGUAGUUUAUGAGAAGGAAAUGCAUAACACGAGGCCAAAUGUAGUGGCUAUGGCUAAGGCUUCUUCUUCAAAGGGUAAGACCAUUUUAAAGAAGAAUAAAUGGAAGAGGCCUGCCAAACCUGUUGUGCAACCAAAACCCAUGAUUGAUAAAGGGAAAUGUCAUUACUGUGGUGUCAAAGGGCACUGGAGGAGGAACUGCAAGAGGUACCUCGCGAGCUUGAAGGUCAAGCCCAAGAACCGACCUUAUGAAGGUAUGGUGUCUAUGCUUAUUGAAACCAAUCUUAUGGUUAGUGCUGAAUCCAGCUCAUGGGUUCUAGAUUCUGCUGCAACUUCACAUAUUUGUAUGUCUUUGCAGAAUCUGGAAAUAAGCAGGAUGCUAAGGCGAAAUGAGAUUGUCCUGACGUUUGCCAAUGGAGCAAGAGUUGCUGCAUUAGCUAUAGGGACUUUUCGUUUAUGUUUCCCUUCUGGACAUGUAAUGGUUUUAAAGAACUGUUUGCAUUAUAAGAAUGCUGUUAGGAACAUCAUCUCUAUACCUCGUCUGGGUAAAGAGAAUUAUGAAUUUUCUUUCGCUGAUGAUGUGUGUUCUAUUUAUCAUAAUAGAAUAUGUGUUGGUUCUAGCAUAUUAACCAACAAUCUUUAUACCAUUACAAUGUCCGGUAAUGUGAUUACCAAUGUCAAUAAGCAAAAUAGAAUUGAUAUAAAUGCCAUAACUAAUAAACGCCCUAGAGACGGUCCAAAUAAAAAGUAUGUUUGGCAUCUCCGAUUAGGUCAUAUUGGAGAAGACAGAAUUAACAAGUUGAGUAAUGAUGGAUACAUUGAUCCUUCAAAUUUUGAGUCAUACUCGACUUGUGAGGCAUGUCUUCUAGGAAAAAUGACCAAAGCGCCUUUUGUGGGACAAAGUGCGCGAGCUGCUGACAUAUUAGAAUUAAUACAUACAGAUGUAUGUGGACCAAUUAAUGAAACUGCUAGAGGUGGUUAUAGUUACUUCAUUACCUUCACCGAUGAUCAGUCACGGUAUGGUUAUUUAUACCUCAUGAAGUAUAAAUCUGAAUCCUUUGAAAAGUUUAAGGAAUUCAAGGCUGAAGUUGAGAAACAAACAGGAAAAUGUAUUAAGGCUCUUCGAUCAGAUCGAGGAGGUGAAUACCUUAGUACUGAAUUCCUGGACUAUCUUAAAGAGAAUGGCAUUUUAUCACAAUGGACACCUCCUGGAACUCCAGAACAUAAUGGUGUAUCUGAACGAAGAAAUCGUACUUUAUUAGAUAUGGUACGAUCUAUGAUGAGUUACACCGAUUUGCCAAUAUCCCUUUGGGGAUAUGCCCUUGAGACAGCUGUAUAUAUACUGAAUAGAGUGCCGUCCAAAUCUGUUCCAACUACGCCCUAUGAGAUAUGGCAUAGUAGGAAACCUAGUCUUAAUCAUAUUAAGAUUUGGGGUUGUCCAGCUUUCGUGAAAAAGCUGAAAAUGGAAAAAUUGGAGGCAAGAUCUGAACAAGGUCGCUUCAUUGGAUAUCCAAAGGAAACUCUUGGAUAUUAUUUCUAUUUUCAUUCAAACCAAAGAAUUUUGGUAUGCAAGCACGCUUCUUUUUUGGAGAAUCAGUUCGUCCAAGAAAGUGGUGCUGGGCGGAAAAUAGUCUUACAAGAAGAAAAUAAUGAAGUAUCAAACAACCGAGUUCAGAUACCAAUCUCUGAUUCAGUGGGAGCUUCUGAUACACAACCUCUUAGGAGAAGUGUGAGAACGUCUCGCCCACCUACUCGUUAUAGACACUUGGUUGAUCAUAUUGAACCAUUAUUCAUUGUGAAUGAUAGUGAUCAACCCGGUGAUCCUAAAACCUAUGAGGAGGCGAUGUUGGACAUCGAUUCUGGUAAAUGGCUAGAGGCCAUGAAAUCCGAAAUGGAUUCAAUGUAUUCCAAUGAGGUUUGGACCUUGACUGACCUGCCUGAUGGUAUUGUACCAAUUGGCUGUAAAUGGAUCUUCAAGAGGAAGAUGAAUGUUGAAGGUCAAAUUGGAAUUCACAAAGCACGGCUGGUGGCGAAAGGAUAUCGUCAAAAAGAAGUAAUUGAUUAUGACGAAACUUUCUCACCUGUGGAGAGACACUUCCAUCUCAUCAGAGAAAUUGUUGGGAGAGGUGAUAUCGCCUUGCAGAAAAUUGCCUCAGCAGAAAACGUGGCAGAUCCCUUCACUAAGGCCUUACCUCAGUCUUCUUUUGAAAGACAUAUUGACAAAAUGGGUUUGAGGUACCAUACAAGUUGGCUUUAGUGUAACUGGGAAAUUGUUGGAUGUAUGCCCUAAAGCUACUAUGUAAUAGUUACAUAUUAGGGAUUUCAGUUGUACUUUCAUUAUUAUUAUUUAAUUAAUGGCAACGACUUAUUCAUUCAUUUGUCCAAUUAUUUUAUAUUGAUGAAUGAUUCCAUAAGAUCAGUUGCAACUAGACCUAUUCUUGAGACGUCAAGAAUAUAUGUGACGGGUUCAUAGUUAGACUGAAUCUUUAAAUUGUUCCCGGUCGAUGGAUUAUUAAGUGGAUAUUAAUAAUCCUGUUGAGACCGGUGUGUUCUUAACUUCGCCAUUAAGUAUUUGAUACUUAAGGGAAUGAUGAGUCACAUGUCAUUGGGUAUUAUGAUACCUGAGUUAGAACACAGGUAUUUGUAUUAGACAAAUUCACUGAACGUGACGCAUAUGGAACGAUUAGCGACAUGGAAGCUUUUUAGCGUGGUCAAUGUCUAAUUGUUCAUGCUUUGGUCUUGUGUAAAUAAUCCUUAGACCUGAGGCACAGUGUUAACUUGUGUAUCGAACAACUAUGGUUCACGGGUGCACAUAAUGCCGGGUCGUCGAUCCGUCUUUAUACUUGAUGGUCAUAGUUUGUUCAUAUACGAAGUUACACAUGUGCGCAAUAUGGAAUCUGUCUCCUUGUUAUAUGCAAGGUAUGAUAAUGAUGUCCUAUGCGAUCUAACUGUGACACUGCAUUGAAAUCCUCGGCCGGGGUUGUAACCGAGAAUAAAUUGUUUAUGUCUCGAAUAAAAUGCAUGUCAAUUAGAUUUGUGCAUAUGAUCGAAUUAAUGACUUGACAAAUAUUCCAUGGUCUUUGUUUGAUCGGGACAUAGUAAGACAGAAGGAUUGAAUUACACUGUAGCCAAAGCUGACAGGUUCAUUAUGUUCUUAAAGCAUUCACACUAUCUGGGUAGCCAUGACAUAUUGCUAGAUGUCAAUCGUGGCUUGUAGGACCUAAAAGAUUAAUCGGGACAAUUAAUUCUUUUGGAAGUACUAAUGUGUUAGUACAAGUCUUACUACCAGCUUAGUGAUGAACCUAGGGAUGUCACACACCAUAAACAACUAGGAUGACGUGGAACAAGAGAGAAAUAUUAUUGCAAAUGUGUUUGCAAUUACUACAAUCGAAUUGAGUCGAUUUGAAAUUAAAUUAAAUGAGAUUUAAUUUAAUUUGUAUCAUAGUCACGAGCCUACUUGCAUAUGAUGCACACACAUGCCCAAAGUGGAUAUAUGUUAACAUACCAAACAAGUUGGCUUUAGUGCAAGUGGGAGAUUGUUAGAUAUAUGCCCUAAAGGAAUUGAUUAAUUAAUUAUUUGUUCAUUUAAUUAAUUAAUUAAUACUUUUUAAUAACCAACAUAAAUUAUAUAUAUAUAAAGCUUCAUGCAUGUGCACGAAGCACAUGCAUGAAACUUGGAUGGUCAGCAACCGCUGACCAUCAUCCACGAAUUCGUGCAUGAACGGUCAGCAGUUGCUGACCAUCAUGCACGAAGUCGUGCAUGAGCAACCGCUCAUACACGAAGUCGUGUAUGAGCAACCGCUCAUGCACGAACAAUCGUGCAUGAGUGGGGACGAUCAGCAACGGUUGCUGAUCGUCCAUCGAUCAGCAACUGUUGCUGAUCGGUUUAUAAUUUUUAGUUUAAAUAGAGUUGUUUUUGCAACACUUAAAAGGGUUGAAAAAAUAGAGAGAAAAGGUGGGUGUGCAUGUGUGUUCCAGAGAGAAAAUGCUUUGCUGAAAACAGAGAGAAAAUUGUGUGCGUGUUCUUGUGUUUUUGAGACGCAAGAAAGAAGAACAUUAUCUCGUUCGGGCCGUGACUAUUAUACAUCAAGGAUACGACGUUUUCUUUCCACGUGAUUGCUAGCACGAUCGAAGUUGUGGAUAUCCGAAAGUUCUCUCUUCCGUUCGACAUUCGUUGUUGGUGUGUCUGAUCUAGAGGUCCGACGCUUGUGGGACUCGUACUGUAGAACAUCCGAACCGACUUGUUUCAAAGCGCGCUUCGAAAGGUAUUUAGUUUAACUCCCUUUUGAUAUUUAGGUUUUUGAUUGAAACGCACGAACAACGCCUAAGGAAAAUCAUGUGUAAAAUAUAUAUUUGUUUCCGCUGCGUUUAUUUUGUUGAUUUUUCUUAUACAUGAUUCAUGAAACCCCAACACCAACCUCCACCCACACAAAAAUUCGAACACGAAAGAUCAUCAACUGGGCUACAUUGAAAUGCUCACAAUACUCUCAUGGGAUGCAGCUGCCUUUGCACAUGCUUUACUGAUCCAUGCUAGUAUGUAUCCAUGGGUAAGCACAACUAAAAACUACCCAAAGUCCCUGCUAAUGGUAUAUGCAAGAAUCUGACUUGUUCUUACCUCAUAGGAUCUGUAACUGGGUUGGAGAAACAAGAAAUAGUUAAAAGGGGUCCCCCGCUAAGUCCUCAAUAUCUGCUAAGUUUCUGGGAAGCUUGAUUAGUACUAUCUAAGGAAGGCCGACAUUGCCCCACUCUAAGACUGCCUGUCACUUUCAAACAACUAUUGAUCUUUAAAAGCAACUGCUCUCUGAAUAAAGAAAGUCACCAGAUUGCCAAUUCUCUAAAGCACCCCGUCCACUUCGUCAACCAGCUUUCCCACAUUUCCUAGCAUGCAAAGCUGCAAAUCCUAGUGGACAUACAUCAAACUUUUAAAAUUUCUGAUCACACAUAUGCACUGAAAAGGACACAAGACAGAUAUAGCAUGUUAUACAACUGGACGCGGAAGUGAUUUAGUACCUGAAAAACACUGCUUAUAACAAGCUAUAGUUUAUUUAGUCCGACCAUGUACACCAGCAAUCAACUGGUCUUUCACUAGAAGGUUCUAAUAUCUCUACUCAGGUACGUACUUCCUCCAAUGUGCAGUCACAAUCCUCAAAGGGUUGAGUUAUUCUACCUUUGGUAAACCAAUUACCUACGGUCAAGUAUAUGCAAGGCAGAUGAACCAUGCAAGAGUAAUUUUCUACAUAGACGUAAUGCUGAGCAUGAUUUGGUUUGGGAAAAUUGCAAACCAAUCAGAAUCAAGCAGGGGUCCAGAACCGAACCGGACUUACAAAAAUGCCUCCUGGAACAGAACCAAACUGAUAAAUCAGAUCAGGUAAGUAUAAUGGUUUGAACAUGUUUUUCUUACCCUGGCAAACACACAAGCGACACAUACAUACACCAACAGGGACACACUUUCCCAAGACCCCAUGCAGGCAGGCCCACGUGCAUCAACACGCGAGAGAGAGAGAGAGAGAGAGAGUACCACUCCCGAUAACAUUUGAGGCACAUGACGUGGCUGCAGUUUGGCAGCACAAUUUUACUAUACAUUUCCAUGCAUAUUCCACAUUCAUCUUCCUUUUCAAAUUCUAUAUCUGCAAACUGCCUAUGUUCCUCCUCUUCUCUCAUUUGUACCUCUCCAUGCACGUAGUCUUCUGCCUUCUAUCUUCAGUAUCGGUCACACCUCUUUCAAGCUGCAGUAAUGAUGGAUAUAUUACCGUUGACAACAACAGGAACAGAGCAUUGUCAAAAAUAACUAAUUUAAAUGGAUCGCCAACUUGACUUUGAAUGACGGCAGUCAGAAUUUGAUUACCAUAGAACUCUCUGAUGCUAGCUUUUCUUUCAUGGGUUGACAUGGUCAUCGUGCCAUCAACAUAGACCUAGAGAACGAGAGGACUUCCAGGUUUCAGCAAUUACCCUAUCACCUAUCACAAAUAUGACUUGAUAAAACUAAAUUUGAUUUGAAAAAAUGCGCUGACCUCCACUCACAAAGAGAUGAUCCACAUUGGGCUUUCAGCAGAAUGAAUGAGCCAAGUAACAAUCAUCUAAUAACUGUGCCGGUCACCAUGAACACAGUAAAUCCGCAUCAAACAAAAAAUUUAUUUCUCGCACAUAUAACUUACCAAGAUUUCACAAUCAAUGAAAGAAGAAAAAUCACGCAGACAAGAGGAACAAAAAAAAAACAUAUUUCAGCCUAAUCGAUCUCUUAAAAGGGAAAAGCAAGAAGAGGGCGCAAUCACAACUCCCAAGAUACACACCCGUCUUCCACUCAUCAUUAAACAGCCCGAAAAACGAUCUAAUCUAGCAAUAAAAGCAAAUGCAGCGAAAGCUCGACAAGAAAUUUUUAUCGUGGUUCGCUUUUGCACUCAUUUCUUGCGAGAACACUCGAAGAAAUGCAUCGAGAAGUUGAUUCUCUGGGUAAGUCGGGUCGGAUUACAUUGGAUAUCACAAUGCCAUUCGUCCUGGAACUCCCAUCAAACACAUGGUGUGCAAGGGUUGCUCGUCGAACGCGAUGAACUCCGUCGCCAUCGGUGCGCUGAACACCAUAGCUGCACCGUCGCUAGGGACACGGAACCACCAAAAUAGUGGGUCAUUUGAGCUUUGCUCAAAUCCUGCAGUUGCGAAAAGAACAUCGCAUCUUGAUAAGAAAGCCUGGACAUAAGUAGCAUAACCCGGAAGCUUGCCUUCGUGGAGGUUCUUGUCGAAGUUGGCGGUGGAGGUGAGACCGCUGAGGGGGCUGACCACCGACGGGGGCGUUCGGUUGCGGCGGCGGUGCGCGGCGGAGAGGAGCAAGCUCGACGUCGACGGCUGGACUAGGUGCUGUGCUUGUUUUAACGUAUAUAUGUAUUUCGACAUUAAUAAGAUAGGAUGAAAACCCGGAACUUUUUUUUUUUUUUUUUUGGUGCGGUUCAGCUAAAAUAAGAGGUUUUUUUUUUUGUUGUAUUCAAAAGAUAAUAAAGGAAAGGGAAAAACAUAAAAGAAAAAUUAAAUUAUUGCACCUUUACCAUAAUUUUUUUAUGAUGUCAAAAAUCAUAUAUUAUUCUCAUUGAGACAAAUUUAUUUUCUGUUACAGUUUCAUUGAAAAUAAUUGUCAGAAAGCUAAUGUAAAUCGAACACGACACUUUAGCUGUGUUUGGUAACGUUUCUGUUCAAAAAUUGUUUUAAGGAACAGAAAUAGAAAAAACUAUUUCUGUUCCGGGGAACAAUUUUUUAACAGAAAAAUGUGUUUGAUAAAUUUGUUCCUUAAAUAGAAAAAGAACAGGAAUACGUUUGGUAAACUUGUAUAAUUUUUUUGUUUCUAUUAAUUUUUUAAUAUUUUUAUUUUCUUUUUCCUUUUUUUCUUUUUUCCUUUUUUCUUUUUUCUUUUUUCUUCCUUUUGGUCGGUCGGCGACCUCGGACAUGGCCAACGACCGGCCGACGAGGGUCGGUGGCCUCACCUAGCCACGGUGAGGCUUUGGGCGAGGCCAAGCCUCGCCGGCCGGCGACCCUUCGGCGAGGUUGUCGGCCCUCGACGGCCGAUCGGCAGCCAUGGCCGAGGCCGGCGACCGGCCAAAGAAAAAAGAAGAAGAAAAGAAAUAAAAGGAAAGAAUAGGAAAGAGAAAAUUGUUUCUUGGAAGUGUUUCAGAAACAAGAAACAAGUUUUUCUUGUUUUUUGUUUCUGUUCCAAUUUUGUUCCCUGAAACAAAAACAAGUCUCGGGAACAAAAAUGCAAACAAAUGCGUUUUUGUUCUUUUUUUUUCCCCGGAACAAAAAAACAGGAAUUGUGUUCAUAAUCAGAAAUAAAGAACACAAACAAACGAGGCCUUUAAAGCUACGUUUGGCAGUUGAAAUAAAAUUCAGAAUAUGAUAAAUUUUAUCUUUUCCUGCAUUUGGUGCAUACUUUAGAUAGAAUAAAGUCAGAUAUAAGGGAAAUAUAAACCAGAUAAAAUUAUCCCAUUGAGGUAGUGAGAUAAAGGUGGAUAAGAUAUUUAAAUCUAUAAUAAGAAAGUUAUUUUUUCAAACAAUAAACUUCUUAAAUUAAGAAAAUAAAUACAAUUUAGUUAUUUUAAUUUAAUCUUAAUUUUAUUUAUAUAUUUGAAUUUAAUUCUAUUUUAUAGUAUAAAUUCAACAUAUAAAUUUAAAUAUAUACUUUUAUUUAUUUCAUAUUUUAUUUGUCUUAAUAUUUUAGAUAUAUUAAUACAGUUUAUUGUUUAAUAAAAUUUUAUUGGAGAAUGAUGGAAGGAGAAGAAAAAAUAAAAAAGAAAUUAAUUAAAAAAGAAGAGGCAAAUAAAAUAAAAUAAAAAUAAAGUAGGCUGUUGUGAAAGAUUUUUACUAUUUUUAUUUAUAAAAUUUUUUUUAUUUAUAUUAAUAAUAAUGUAUCUGAUAUGAUGUGAAUAUAUCCGAUUUUAUUAUUGUAAUGGCCAAACAAUAAAAAGAAGGGUUAUACCCUGAAAAACCCAAACUAGUACACCUGUGACAAAUUUACCCAAAACUAUUUUUUUUACCAUGAAAAAUCUCAAAUUGGGACACAUGUGACAAAUUUAUCCCGAUUGACCAUAAAAAACCAUAAACUGGUACAUUUAUGACAAUUUUAUCUCCAAACUAAUUUAUUCGACCGCAAAAAAUCCAAAAUUGGUAAAUUUGUGAUAACUAUACCCUCCGUUAAAUUGGAUUAAUACAACAAAAAAAUCACAAAAAUUGUAAACCAUGACAAACGGAGUGUAAAAUCCCAAAUUUGUAUACCAAUCAACUGUUACGUGUCAUUUAACUUAAUAAUUUGAUAGUAAAAUUUAACGAAAACUAAUAGAGGGUAAAUUUGUUACAAGUGUACCAGUUUGAGAUAAAUUUGUCAAAGGUAUACCAGUUUUAGAUUUUUGAUGGUUAAAAAAAUAGUUUUUGGUAAAUUUGUUACAGGUGUAUCAGUUUAGAGUUUUUCAAGGUAUUAACCCUAAAAAGAAUACAACUAAAUCAUAUCUUUUCCAGUUCUAUCGUGACUAAAAAUUUGAACCAUCAACCGUAACUUUAGGGAUAAGUGGGUCAAAUGAGGCCAUAAGUGAGCGCCACAUUAGAAAAAGAAAAAAGAUCUAAACAAAGGAAAAAAAAAUAUUGCACCGCCCAUGGUCUUCCUCUCGAGGAAGAGCAGUAUGAAGUUUCAAGAAUGUCAAGCUUGAGCGGCUGCCAUGGCCUCUCCAGCUCGAAGCUUGGCUUGUCUGACCUUGACCUUCGAAACUCACAACCGCCAUGACCGCUCUAGCUAGAAGAUUGGCUUACUUAAGGGUCUAAUUUAGUCCUUCAAAGCUAGCUAGUAGCCGCCAGUUGCCAUGGCCAAGCUCAUGACUGCCAUGACCGCUCUAGCUCAAAUCUUGGCUUGAGGUAUGACCUCGACCUUUGAAGCUCGUGAGUAUUCGCCGGCAGCCAAGGCCAAGUUUCGAAGUAGCUUGAAGGUCGAGCUUUGAAGCUCACAGCCGCUGUCAUGGCCGCUCAAGCUCAAAGCUUGGCUUGAUUGUCUGUCCUCCAUCUUCAAACCUCGUGAAUGGUCGGGCAACCGCCAACGAGCACCAUCGGAGGAGUUUGGCCAAGCGAUUGAAGACGGUGAACGCGUGGAAUGGUACUUUGCAAAGUAUUGGGGAAGACGAUGACUAGUGCAAUUUUUUUCUUUUUAGUUUUAAAUUUUUUGAAAAUGUAGCACCACAUCGUCGUCAGCCCUUGGCUAGGCCCGGCAACCCUGGCCAACUCUCCCCCCACCCACCGGCAACAACAAGGAGGCUACAGCGAUGCCACCUCCAACUAUUCAUCAUCUUCCUUCCUUCUUUUUUUUUUUAAAUUCAUUUUAAAUUUACUUUAAUUAAUUUUUAUACUAAUUAUUUAUCCACAUUAACAGCAAAAUGAAGUUAUUUUUACAUUUGUCUAAUCACAUCAGCAUGUAAAACGACGUCGUUUUGCACUUGUAUCACCAGAGAAUUACCACGUCAGCAAUUUGGCCAAAUUUUCUUGCCGUUGACACUUAACUAAUUCAUUUUGCUCUGAUUUUGCCACUUAAGUGUCACUUUCCUAAUUUUUAAUACUUAAGUAUUAGUCUGUGUCAAGUUUUGACAUUGCAAAUAUUUGGCACUCUACUUUUGAAAUACUAUAGUGUUCAUACUUGGAAGGACUGCAUCUCUUUUCUCAACAGCAUUUUUUAUUAAACGCUCCUUUUCGCAUUUUUAGAAGAAACUUGCACUAUUUUUUUUUUUCUUUUUGAAGAAUAAAUGUAGGCAACUCUCGUCAAAACAGUGAGUUUGAACGGACACAUAUUUUGCAUUCUAAUGGUAAUUUAGAUGGUGUUUGUUUUGUGAAUAGCAUCUUCAUUAGGCGAUUUGCAUUUUCCUCUUGUUUUUGAAAACUGUAUACGUUGCACAACCACAUUGAUACCAUCGGAAAAGUUCAUUUUCUCGAUAAAGACGAAGCAAACACCUCAAACAUUUGAAGUCACAAUACCUACUGACAACUGAAAAAUUUGCAGACCGCUUACAAACACAGACAAUAUAUAUCAGUGACUAUUAAUUUCGCCAUGGAAAAAGUAACUUUUUACGAUGAAAAGUAAUUUUCCACCUAUUAAAAUUAGUAACUUCACCAUGUUAAUCAUCACUUUUUACAUAUAGGUGAAGUUUGAGCAUAAUGGCGACCAAUAAUUUCUUUAUGUAGUCAGUAAUUUCUAAUUUUGAAAGUUGCUUAUCCAUGCAAUUAAUGAAAAUCACAAAAAGGGACUUUGGAUAUAUCAAUGAUAAGUUACAUCCAUACGUGCUUAGUGCUUGCCAAAAACAAGUGAUUAACAACUUUCCCGAAAUGCUAAAAAAGGAUAAUUUAAGCAAUAAACUUCAGAAAUAGCGGUGCUGGAGAAUAUGCAUUUGCAAGUUGUACCUCUAAAGAAACCCAAUACACACGAGCUAUUUUAUUGGAAUCGAGUGAGACUGAUACUGAAGCAUUCUUCAACAAUCUUGCUACGCGCACCGACCACCAAUACAUUUCCUUGGAUUGCCGCAUACUAGGAGGCUGAAUCCAAAAGCAGCACAUCCUAAUUCAUCCACCAAACAUAUCUCUAGGAAUCGAGAGCAAUUCCAGACGUCCAAGUACUUCCCUGUCAAGCUGUAGAAACCAAGCUUUUCUUUGAAUCAAUCCAAUAGCUAAGCGAUUGCAAUUCGUACAAGAAACAAUAAAAAAAGAAGAAGAAGAAGAAGAAGCAAGACGUUUUAUUUUGGAUUUUAUAGCACCAAAAUAGAGUUCUAGUAACCUGACAGUACUCAAGAAUGUGCGUACACAUUGCAGGCCUCAUGCUACUUUAAAUUAUGUACACAUAUGAAUGGUGGAAGAUAACAACUAUCAUCUUCAAAGAACGAUCUUCAGUUAUGUGUUUUACCAGUACGUUUGCAUUUGCAUAAACAAUACAGAAUGUAUAGCAAUGAGAGAAGAGAAAAGUUCUAAUAAAAUUUAUGCUAUAAACCUGUUGUUCAUUUUUGUUCGUGUAAGCCCCUUGCGAAGAGUUUCUCUCUAAUCUUUUGCAGCUGAUUUGCAGCUCCACUCAUGCUCAUCCGUCUUCCAGGCAUUUCGUCGGAGCAAGCGACUCCAAUAUUAUAUACUGUGACCAAGCACUCUUGAAAUACGCCGUCGCUUUCGGGGAGCCAAUGCUGAUGGCUGUUGGUGCUUGAAUGAUUCUCUCUUUCUUGAAGUAGAAUGUGAUCCGUAAUUUCCAUCACUCGUUCAGACAAAGCUUCAGCCACAAAACUAUGAAGAGUCAAAUUGUCUCUAAAUAUGUCAUCGGUGGGACUCAACCCUGUGAACAUCUCCAAUAAGAGAAUGCCGUAACUAUAGAUAUCGCCUUGUCUUGAAACCUCACAUCCCAUUGCAUAUUCUGUGACAAAUGUAGAUCAUAAUGUGGGUGAAAUUUGGAGUAGGAUCACUAAAGCAGAAUGUAAUGGGCAUAAGAGGUACCAUGCAGCUACCAAACUCACAAAGUAACCCAUCAAUAAUUUUUUUUACCUAAAAAAACAUUUUUUGUCUGAAUGAGAGAAUUACCUGGUGGAGCAUAACCAAUUGUUCCUCUUAUGCCCAAUGAGCUCAUUUGAUUAGCUACGGUAUCAUUGGAUGAUCCAAGGAGGAACUUUGCCAAUCCAAAGUCACCAACAUGGGCAACCAUGUCAGCAUCUAAAAGGAUAUUGCCAGGCUUUAGAUCACAAUGAACGAUGGGGAUGUGGCACUGGUGAUGAAGAUAAUCCAGUGCAGAAGCAACAUCAAUAGCAACAUUUAUCCUAUGAAAGAAAUUCAAUUUCUGGGUAGGUUCGUUCCUAUGAGAUGGUGUUGGGUUUGGGUGUAGCCACCUUUCUAAGCUUCCCUUUUCCAUGUACUCAUAAACUAAGGCCUUGAAAUCAUUUUGCCGAUAAUCAAUACCCGAGCAAAUUGUCAAUAUCUUUAGAAGAUUUCGAUGUCUGAUAUUCUUUAAUGCCUCGCACUCCGCCAUGAAGCUCUUUAGAGCACCACGAUGCACAAAAUGAAGCACCUUCACUGCAACGGCUGUACCAUUCUCCUCAAUUAUCCCCUUGUAAACAGAACCAAAGCUUCCAACACCGAUCAAAUUCAUUGAAGAAAAACCAUCAGUUGCUUUUAGGAGUGCUCGAUAAGAUAUGUAUGGCCAUGAAUCCUCCAUGGAAGUUGAAAUUGGUUCUUUUACUUUCUUCUUUAACCAAUAAAGAUACAAAAAAACUAGAGUAAGAGUUAUUCCAAGAAUGCCAAAAAUAAUACAAGCCGACGAUACCAAUAUAUGGAUUUUUCUUCUCUUGGAGCUUUUGGAGACGCAUUCGGGGAGGUGAAAUGCCGGCAAUCCCCCACAAAGCGCAUCGUUCCCAAUAAUAGAAGUCAUGGUAGUAUUCUUAAAGACUCCUUCACGUGGUAGCAUGCCUUCAAAGCUAUUGUAAGACAAAUUCAAAAGUUCCAAGGAAUGAAAUAACACUAAGAAUUCUGGAAUCUGACCCGACAAAUUGUUGCGUGAAAGAUCUAGUUCUUCAAUGCCUCCCAACGAUCUGAUCGAUUGGGGAAUGGACCCGUUGAAGAAGUUUCCCCCCAUCCUCAGUAAUGUCAAUCCAGUGCAAUCCCCUAAACUAUUUGGGAUUUCACCCACCAACAUAUUGUCAAAGAUGUCCAACUCGGUCAGAGUUCUCAAGUUCCCUACUUCUAUGGGUAGAACCCCGCUCAGACGGUUAUGAGACAAGUCUAGAAAGAUUGUUAUCGAUGAGAGACCUAUGAGCUGUGGAGGUAUGGUACUGCUAAGAUUGUUACUAGAAAGAUCAAGCCACUGGAGAGAUUGGCACUUCGAUAGAUGUGAGGGAAUUUGCCCAUGAAAGUUGUUCCCACCAAGACUUAGUCCGAUCAACUUAGUUAGAUUUCCUAAAGAAGUGGGGAUUGUCCCUCUUAGGUUGUUACUGCCUAAGCGCAAUAUCGCUAGAUUUUGUAAAUUCCCAAUAUUUGGGGGGAUCUCGCCUGAAAACUUGUUAAAAGCCAGUGUUAACACUUCUAGGUUGACUAGAUUUCCAAUUUCUCGAUGAAUCUUACCAAACAUUAGGUUCUCAUAUGCGGUGAAUGACUUGAGAGUGCUCGAGAAAUUACCUAUGCAUUUGGGUAAUGCCCCACCGAGUCUAUUCAUACUAAUUUGGAAGUACUUUAAUUCUGUGUAGUUUGUCAAUGAGCAUACAAAGCUCAAGUCUUCAGAAUUUCCACUUCCCAGCUCGUUAUCAGGGAUGGAAAAAUACCAAAGCUUGGGCAUAUUUCUAAAAGAAGGCACUUUCCCUGAAAGCUUGUUGAUUCCGAAUUCAAUUGUCUCUAGAUUUGUCCAAUUGGACAUUGAGGGAGGAAUUGGUCCCUCAAAUUGGUUACCGGCAAUGCUAAAAUCUCGAAUAUUUGGGAGCAUCAAGUCUAAGUCUGCAAGAAGACUCCCCAGCAUCCGAUUAAAUGACACGUCAAACCAAACUAGAGAAGAGAGAUUGAGUAACGAGGACGGAAUUGUGCCGGACAAUCUAUUAUCUCCGAACAUAAUACCUUCUAAAUUUGUCAGGCGGCCUAGAACUUUGGGAAUGCUCCCGCCCAAGUCAUUUGCCGUGAGUUGAAGAAGAUGCAGUGAAGAUAGGUUUCCGAAGAAGGAAGGCACGUUCCCAGAGAGUGCAUUUCCAUAAAAUGAUAAAACAUUUAGCUUUGACAAUGAACCGAGUUCUGGGGGAAUUUCUCCGGUUAGUUGGUUGGAGUCAAUGGUAAUGACUACUAGUUUUGAGCAACCUGACACGUUUCUAGGAAUUUCUCCGGCCAAUGAAUUGUUGUCUAGCUGCAACACUUGUAGGCGGCGCAACCGCCCGACUUGCGGGGGGAUUUCUCCAACAAGACUAUUAUUUUGGAUAUAAAUCUCACUCAAGAAGCUUAGAUUUCCGAUAUAAGGAGAGAUGGACCCUGAGAAUCCUAGUGAGGACAAAUUCAGGACCGUGACCCUUUGGUGUCUCAGGCCACACCUAACUCCAUACCAAUGGCAAAAUCCAAUGGUGUCGUUCCACGAGUCAAGCACCGAAUAAGGGUCUUUGAUUGCGGCCUUAAAUGCGAGGAGUGCGAGUUUGUCGGUUUCAUUUGUGGUGGAGGAGACUAGGACAAGGCACAAUGCAAGCACAAGACAAAGAAGAAAACAACAUGGUUGUAAUUGUGCAAAACUGAAGUGUGCAAGCUCCAUAGCUCGAGCAGAAGUGGGUAGAUAUGAAGGGAGGGACCAUAAGAGGAAAUGAGAGAUGUGGGAGUGCUGAUGCAAAUUGCGAAGAUAUUUAUAAGGAGGGGUGGAGUUGGAUGGAGAGCAUUUUGAAGAGCCUUUCUAGUUUUCCUUUUUCCAUGUCACAGACAAAGCCAAAACAACGGCAAAUGAGUAGCAGUCAACCAUCAACCACCCAACCUUGGCUCCAGCACUCAAUACAUUGGAGAAGUUGCACUACUUUUUCCUCUACAUCAUCACAAGUAAAUGAUGUUGACUCGGUAGCCAAUGUUCCUAACCAUCCAUUGGUUUUUGCUCAGUCACCCGUUAUGAUAAUACAUAGAAAUCAUAGUGAAAAUUAUAUAUAGUUGAUCUUUUGAGUUGAGUCCGCUUCAAGCUAGAUGACUAUUAUUGUUAUAUUUACUUUUGGGUUGAGCAUGUUGUACAAGUUGGAUCAAUCACUGAACGGUGUUCUCGGGGUGGAAAAUUGGGGGGAAGCUCCACUGUUGUAAUAUUGACUUCAAGAAUUUGCAUUGGACCCGCUAGAGAAAUUCAAUACACGCAAGUUACAUGUUAGGAUUGAAUGAGACCGAUUAUAUUGAGGCAUACUAGGAUAAUACCUACUAUGCACAUUGAGCGUGGAUGCAUAUCUUCAAAUUGCCGCAUUCUAGAAGGUUGAAUCCGAAAGUUAUGCUACCUUAUUCACACACCAAAGCAACGGUAUUGCUUAUAUAUGACCGAACAUGGAUCUAGGUAGAGAGUAAUUCUUGACAUCCAAUUAUCUUGUGCUACAACUAAGCAACGGAGAGCCACUGUUCCUACUCACAUUAUAGAACCCAAGCUUUCAUUGAAUCAGAUUUCUAAUAGCUCAUUGAUUGCAAUUUGUCUUAGUAAGCAUCAUACAAGUCAAAAAAAAAAAAAAAGCAAGGGAAAUUUAUUUGGAUUUAUUUCCAAAUAUUGUAACACCAAAAUAGAGUUUUAAGUAAACUGACAAUAGUCAAGAACCGAUGUUCAUCAUAGGCUUAUACUAGUUUAAAAUACUUACAUAUACGGAUGGCAAAUGGUAAUCAACUAUUAUCUUUAAGUAAAAGAUCUAUAGUUAUAUAUUUUACCCGUAAAUUUGCGUUUGGGUAAAUAAGACUAAAUAUAUAGCAACUAGAGAAGAUAAAACUUAAUAAAUUUAUCAUACAAUGUAUGUAAACCCAAUGCAAAGAGUUUUUCUGUAAUUAUUUACAGUUGAUUUCAGAGAGAGAGAGAGAGAGAGAGAAAUUUGGUGAAAAGAUGUGCUUUUACUAAAAUUGAUGUGGAUAUAACCCCACCUUUGUUGUUGUUUUAUAAAAUCAAAUAUAUGAUUUUAAUUGUUUCUUUAAUAAUAUUUUAUUGUUGUAGAGUUUUAGAAAUUUGCUCAAGUUUAGUAAGUUUUAGUUUAAUAUAUUUGUUGAUAAUUGAUUAUUGUUUGUGAAAAUUAAGAUGUGGGUCUUAUAGUUUAAAUAAGUACUAGAAUUUUAAAGGGCCUUUCUUGUUUUUCCUUUUUUUCUUUUUUCAUAUCACAGACAAUGCCAAAAACAAUGGCGAAGUGAGUAGCUAUCAACCAUCAACCACCCGACUUUGGCUCUAGCACUUAACGCAUUGGAGAAGUUGCACUACUUUUUCCUCCAUACCAUCACAAGUAAACGAUAUUGACUCGAUAGCCAAUCUUCUUAACCAUCCAUUGAUUUUUUGCUCAGUCACCCAUCAUGAUAAUACAUACCAUAACAAUUGAUCUUUUGAGUUGAACUUGCUUCAAGCAGGAUAACUAUCUUGCUCUUUUAGGUUGAGCUCAUUGUACAAGUUGAAUCAAUCACAACAGUCCAGUCCCACAAUUUUUAAUGGUGUUCUCAAUAUGGAAAAUUAGGGGGAAGCUUGACUGUUGGGAUGUCAACUUCGAGAAUUUGCACCUGCACUCACUAGAGAAAUCCAAUACACAUAAGUUACAUGAUUGGGACUAAGUGAGACUGGUUUUAUUGAGGCAUACUAGAUAACAUCUACUAUGCACAUUGAAUCUUCAAAUUGCCGCAUUCUAGAAGGCCGAAUCCAAAGCUAUACCACCUUAUUCACCCACCAAAGCAAUGGCGUUGCCUGUAUCUGAUUAAACAUGGAUCUAGGAAGAGAGCAAUUCGUAAUAAUCCAAUUAUCUUACACUACAACUAAAUUAUGGAGAGCCAUGUUCUGGUCACAUUACAGAACACAAGCUUUCAUUUAAUUAAAUUUCCAAUCGCUCAUUAAUUGUAAUAUAUCUCGAUGAGCAUCAAAAAAGUAAAAAGAAAAAAAGAAGCAAGGGAAUUUUAUUUGGAUUUAUUUUUAAAUACUAUGGAAAAGUAACAAAAAAAAGUCAUAAACUUAUUACAUUGAUAUCAAUUCAAUCAUAAACCUUUUUAAUUGGUCAAAUUUAAUCCUAAACCUUUUUACAUAGUACCAAUUGAGUACAUCCAAUCAAUUUUGGCUUGAAAUCAUCGACGUGAAUGUGGCCAUCCUACGUAGUACAGUCGGCACUGUGUGAACAUUUUUAAUAAUAUUCUAAUAAAAAAUUAAUUUUUUUGAAUUUUUUUUGUUUUAUUUAUUUCUUUUUUAUUCUUUACUUUUUUCUUUUCUUUUAAGCUACUAACAGCGAGGACAAGGAGGUCGAUUCUGCGAAUUGCACCAAAGGAGAUAGCGCGUUGAUCCAAACGAGGAGGAGCGAAGCCAUGACAGUUGGAGAAGCCAUUAGAGAGUGACAAUACAAGAAGUGAGGGACACAAAACACAGGAAGGCGAAGAAGAGGAGGAGGAGAAGGAGGACGAACCUAGGAACCAACGAGGAAAAAGAUAAACAAAAAAGAAAAAAAAAAUAGGACUAGUGACCAAGAAGUCUCUGUUCGCCUACACAAAUUUGGUAGAACAUUAAUUGAUCUUAGAGUUUUUUUUUAAUAGCUUCACUAUUUCUGAUAACUGGGAGAUAAACCUCAUGACAUAAUGUAGUCUUUCCAAUAAAUUUUGAACUUCUUUGACAGUACAAGAAGAUUUCAAGUCGCAAAUGACUUUCACCUUUGAGAGAUCAAUCUCAAUACCCCUACUAUUAAUGAUAAAUCCGAGAAACUUCUCAGACUUUGCCCCAAAUAUGCAUUUGGCGGGGUUAAGCCUCGGCUUGAACUUUCUAAGUCUAUCAAACAACUUCCUCAAGACUUCAACAUGAUCUUCACCUUGUCUCAAUUUAACGAUCAUGUCAUCGACAUAAAUUUCAAUUUCUUUAUGCAUCAUAUCUUGGAACAAUGCCACCAUACCUCUUUGAUAUGCUGCCCCUCUCGGACAAUGGACUACUUCUAUCGACUUGGACCGGGCUAGGUCUUUGCUUGCAAUCUUUAAUCACGGCCCAUAGCUUCCACGGGCUUAGGAUAGAGCUCGCAAUAAACUGAACAACUGAGAAGCUACCAGGCCUUUCUUGCAAGUACAAAAGUGCAGUUCUCAUCACUAAUGCCUCGACACCGACUGCAGAGGAGGCGCACACAAAAUUCGAUCAUGACACGUUAACAUGAAUCACCGGCUCUUAACAGUCGUGUUACAAUGCACAGUCGAUUUAACACGCUAGAUUUUUUUCUUUUUAUGUGAACAUAGAGUGGACGAGGCAAGUUUUAAUUUUGUGCUCCUUUUUCCAAUCUCUUGAGUUACGCUGACAAUUGCCUUGGAGCAUGGGCAAAUUUAUUUCAAUGGACAAGAAUAUCUAUGGGUUGACUUAGUUAUGUGCUCAUUUACGCUGGGAAAAGCAGGUGGACGGAUGCAAACUGAAGUUAUUUAAAGACAAAAAAUGAUACCAAUAAUCUCUAAAUUUUAGUCUAAUGUACAAGAUUAUCCAUAGAUUUUUUAACUGUGGAUUUUUUUUUUUUAUGUAUUCAAUUUAUAAUCCUUUCGUUUGAUCAAAUGAGGGAGAAAGUCCCAAGUCACUGAACCAUAAUGAAAUGUGCAAUCUAGUUCUAUACUAUUGCACAGUGUGCAAUCUAGCCUCCUUAAACUUUCAAUGUAUUCAAUAUAGUCCAUCCAUUUUCAAUAACAAAGGCAAAUCAAUCCUUUGUCAUUAUUCACAAGUUUUCAUAACGAUACCAUUGCCCUAAUUUUAUAAAUUUUCAUCCCAAUUAAUUUCCUAAAUCAAACAAAAAAAUCUAUCCUUUUUUUUUUACUCCUGUGGUUUUUAUAAAUAUUACAACAGCUCCAAUUAAAUAUAUAUUAUCUCAUGAUCUAUAUAAUAGUAAAAGUAAAAGCUCAUUUACAAUUGUAUUGGGUUGGUAUUCUUGCUACUUUAAGUUUAGGUGUUUUCAUCGAAUAUCUAUAAGUUGUAUACUUAUAGAUAUUCCAUACAUGCAAUAAUAUACAGAUAAAAACUUGUGAAUAGUAUCAAAGGAAUUAUUUGCAUUUGUCAUAAAAAAAUGGAGGACUUAAAUUAAACAACUUGAAAGUUUAGGGAUCACAUAUUUGCCACUAAUUUUAUGACUAGAUUGUUUAUAAUAUUUAAAGGACUUAUGGCAAAGGACUUAUUGUGACUUUCUCCCUUGUUUGAUCAAACAAAGGGGCUGAAUUGAAUAUUUCAUUUACUUACAGGGGGAAAGUGAUGGCUUGUGCUGUUGGAUUCAGAUUAAGACAGAAAAUCUAGGAUUGUUUCAAUGCCUUGAACCAUAUCCUAUCCUGCAUGUGUGAAGUUCUGGUUAAAUAUUUGGCAAUGGAACUGAACUUCACUUGUCUUGAUUAGAUUAUAGAACUUUAAUUCGAAUCAUCUAAUACACUAAAUGUCCACCUUCAAUGCAGAGGUCCAAAUGGCCCAAAUGUUCGCAAUGCCGAUAGCUCUCCGGAUUCUGAUCGAAGUGCACCAAUUGCAAAAAUUGUAAACGAAUUGUAAAUUUUAUGCAUGUACUGAGCAAUUGAAAUCGCAAUUUCGUAAAACUGAUCGGGAGGAAAUCACCACAUUCAUGUCGUAGCGCCAAAUGUUCAUGGUCCAUGAAUGGAUGUCACUUAUGAACUAGCCAAACAGCAAGAUUGCUGAACUAGUAAAAGCUCUCCCUCUCUCCCUCUCUCUCUUGAAGACCAAAAGAGAGAACUUAACCCACUAAGAAUCUUUACAAAUUAUAUAUACAGAUGUGAGAAUCGGUAAGUGCAGAUUAUUUGUAGAACUUCUAAUGAACCACCUACUCUGGUCUGAACUUCACCCAUCAGCCGACAAUAAAUCAGGCUGGCUUUUCUGACAUGAAUAGGCAGGACCAACCAACAAACUACAAAUUGUCCCUCAUAUCAGGAUUAAAAAGUAAGGAGACAUGCAGGAGGAGAGCAAGCUUGGACAAAUGGGGUUUGGUUCCGACGGUCUUUGAUCACCUUAGGUGAGAAUCAUAUGUUUCCAAGAGAUUAUCAGGAACGACCAGAGGCAACUUAUCUAUGUACAUGAAGAGCCUCCGAAGAUUCUACCUGGUCACGGUGAACAUGUCGACUAUGUCCCUGCUGUCCAUGAAUAUCCAAAGGUCACCCGAGUUUACUCUCUUGAGGUUGUUCCGACAGAACGGGCAGGACUGCGAUCUCGUCCGCCUGUAAUGUCACAAUGAGGCCACGUUAGAGAAUUUUCACACAAACCCUGCAGUUAAUGAAUAGUCCCAGCAAAACCAGAACGGCAACACUAGAGUAAAAGAUCAAAGUUUUUCUAGCAUCUGAUCUUUCUUACAUGACGCGGCCAAAUGAAUCAUAUAACUGGAUAACCUAACUUGACAAUGGACUGUAGUGAAAAAUCAAACAAGAUUAGAGAACCGAGAAGUACUGUAUGACAACUUAUAUGAACCCCCCUUGUUGAUUGUUGGCAGAUAGCAAAUAAUUCACCGGAGGUUCCAUUUUAACCAUCCAAACUACAAUACAAAUGCAAAAACUCUAUGACAAGUAGCAAUUAUAAUAAUAAAUAAACGUCCAUGACCCAAUGAGGGUGAAAAAAACAAACUAAUUUUAGAGUAGCUUACACCGGUAAGGAGGUUUUAGACCAAAAAAAAAAAAAAAACACAGAGAGAGAGACAACCUGUAAGGAGAUUUCAAAAUGCUUUAACAAGAACUGGUGACUUCAUUAAGGUUAUUCAACUUCAAUAGGGAAUUAGCAAAUUUGAACUCCCAUCAACUAUCAGAGAUUGCCAGCAAUAUCUUUGAAGACUUAAAUCUGACUUUAUUACUGAAAGAAGAUUUAUGUGUAUGCAUUAUAGAGGUGGUUAUGGAGGGCGAUGGCAAAAUUGGUAUUUACUGAAAAGGAAAAACCAUUUCAGACGCUCAAAUCAAAUCCAAUUUUGCAUAACUUUUACACAUCCCUCGUCACUUAUUAGUCUCGUCAUUCUUAAUUUUGCAACUGUAAGUCCAGGCAAUAAGUGUCCACACAAGACAAAUUGACAAAUAUAAAUUCACACAAAGUGCAAGAAACAACAAAAACAUGGUUCUCUCUUCACUUUUUUCCAGCGAGCAGAAACCCAAGCUUAUCAUAUGUCCCAACCUCCACCCACAUAAAAAUUCGAACACGAAAGAUCAUCAACUGGGCUUCACUGAAAUGCUCCCAAUACUCUCAUAGGAUGCAGCUCCCUUUGCACAUGAUUUAUUGAUCCAUGCUAGUAUGUAUCCAUGGGUGCACACAACUAACAACUCCCCAAAGUCCCUGCUAAUGGUAUAUGCAAGAAUCUGACUAGUUCUUACCUCAUAGGAUCUGUAACUGGGUUGGAGAAACAAGAAAUAGUUAAAAGCAGUCCCCCACCAAAUCCUCAAUAUCUGCUAACUUUCUGGGAAGCUUGAUUAGUACUAUCUAAGGAAGGCCGACAUUGCCCCACUCUAAGACUGCCUGCCAUUUUCAAACAACUAUUGAUCUUUAAAAGCAACUGCUCUCUAAAUAAAGAAAGUCACCAGAUUGCCAAUUCUCUAAAGCACCCUGUCCACUUCGUCAACCCGCUUUCCCACAUUUCCUACCAUGCAAAGCUGCAAAUCCUAGUGGACAUACAUCAAACUUCUAAAAUUUCUGAUCGCACAUAUGCACUGAAAAGGAC
rnacentral:lncRNA from 1 species